AGCGACAGAAGAAGCACCGGCUAACUCCGUGCCAGCAGCCGCGGUAAUACGGAGGGUGCGAGCGUUAAUCGGAAUUACUGGGCGUAAAGCGCAUGCAGGUGGUUUGUUAAGUUCAGAUGUGAAAGACCCGGGGCGUCAACCUCGGAAUAGCAUUUGAAACUAGGCAGACUAGAGUACUGUAGAGGGGGGUAGGAAUUUCAGGUGUAGCGGUGAAAUGCGUAGAGAUCUGAAGGAAUACCGGUGGCGAAGGCGGCCCCCUCGGACAGAUACUGACACUCAGAUGCGAAAGCGUGGGGAGCAAACAGGAUUAGAUACCCUGGUAG
rnacentral:rRNA from 1 species